UAAUGAGGAGAUGCGGGCCAAGGCUUUGAAGAGACCAGCCCGGAAUGAAGUUACUCUAGACUACAUGUUAACUUCAGGUUACAUAGAACCUCAAGUGAAACUCCUAUGGAAGUGACUUUUGAUCCUUUCAUUCUGGCCUAUGAUUUCCUGACAUCAAAUCAUGCACGUUCUGUUAUACCCCUCCCUGAUACGUGAGCUUGUUCCUUGGGACCAUUUUAGCUAGUGGACUCUGUUGUUGGACUCAGAAUAAAAGAAUUUAUUCAACGCGCCAAAAAGCUCAUCAGCUUGCUGUCAAGGCAGGAAUUUUCGGGUUCUGAGCAUGCCCAGUAGGAAUGAUUUAACACUGCACUGAUGACUUGCAACAGAAGAACGUCAUGUGAAAAGGUCAAUCCGCAGAUCCAUUUACAUACCAAUGCAACCUAGUGAAGUUCCAGUGUAAGACUGUACAUUAAUUUAUGCAUUUAGGAAACACAAGCUUUCAUCUGAAGAAUUCCAGUAACAAAGGCCAAAAUCAGCACUGCCUUCGGAUUGUUUAGCUACAAUUGUGACUACUGAAGACAAAGGAAGCCCAGUGGAGGUGGGGACCAGAG